rnacentral:rRNA from 1 species
AUUGAACGCUGGCGGCAUGCCUUACACAUGCAAGUCGAACGGUAACAGGUCUUCGGAUGCUGACGAGUGGCGAACGGGUGAGUAAUACAUCGGAACGUGCCUAGUAGUGGGGGAUAACUACUCGAAAGAGUGGCUAAUACCGCAUGAGAUCUACGGAUGAAAGCAGGGGAUCGCAAGACCUUGUGCUACUAGAGCGGCCGAUGGCAGAUUAGGUAGUUGGUGGGAUAAAAGCUUACCAAGCCGACGAUCUGUAGCUGGUCUGAGAGGACGAUCAGCCACACUGGGACUGAGAAACGGCCCAGACUCCUACGGGAGGCAGCAGUGGGGAAUCUUGGACAAUGGGCGCAAGCCUGAUCCAGCAAUGCCGCGUGCAGGAUGAAGGCCUUCGGGUUGUAAACUGCUUUUGUACGGAACGAAAAGCCCCGGGUUAAUACCCUGGGGUCAUGACGGUACCGUAAGAAUAAGCAUCGGCUAACUACGUGCCAGCCGCCGCGGUAA